GGUUCAUUAGAAUAAUGGUAGUUCGCCCCCCUUCAGGAUAGAACUAUGGCUCUAUGCUGAAGGGGGUGGUUGGAGUUCGAAUCUCCGAUGAACCA
rnacentral:tRNA from 1 species